UUGUACUGCUACGCUGUUUGGCGCCAACACCUUCAGGGAUUGGAGCAGCUUUUUCCCUGGAAGAGUAUCUCUCCCCAGUGAAGCUGAAGGGCACACCAGCACAGUGCAGCUUUGGGUCAUAUUCAGUCAUCUCAGCAGAACUUCAGAAGAGCUUGACUAGGCCAAAUGUUGAAGUUAAGUUUUCAAAUAAUGUAACUUUUAAGAUAACUUAUUAAAGGGGAGGGGCACAUUUUGGCAAUUAGUCGGCAGUGGCUUAUGGUUGGGAUUGGGAGGGUUGGGUUUAGGUAAUUGUUUAGUUUAUGAUUUCAGAUAACUCAUACCAGAGAACUUAAAUACUUAGGAUGGAAAACUAAAGAACUCUCAACUUCCAAGGUGGCAAGUAACUCCCAAUUUUCUAGUUUCUGUUUUUCCCCAGUGUUUGAAUUUGACAGCUGGGGAAGUUCAUGAAGAUUGACUGGAUUUAAAGUGUAGGGCUUGGGGAAGGAAAAUGGUGGACUGGGGGUUGGUCUAGCCCACUGGGCUGCCUUAGAUUAAAAACUUGGGAAUUUUUUAAAUGCUUAAGUUGUUUGCAUAUGGUAGUGUGUGGUUCUCUUUUGGAAUUUUUUUCAGGUGGUUUAAUAAAACUUAAUACUACUGUAGGAGCUUCAGAGCAAAGGAAGUGGCUUAAUGAUCCUGAAGGGAUUUCUUCUGAUGGUAGCUUUUAUAUUAUCAAACUUUUUUCAGAUAACAUCUUCUGAGUCAUAACCAGCCUGGCAGUAUGAUGGCCUAGAUCGAGAGGGGAACAGCUCCUUGGUGAAUGAUAAGUAAAGGCAGAAAAGAUUAUAUCUCAUACCUACAUGGGGGAAAAAGCAUAACCCUGAGAUCCUUAACUACUGAUGAACACAUUGUCUGCAUAUGCCAAAAAAAAUUAAGCAAAUGAAAGCUACCAAUUUAAAGUUAAUGGAGUCUACCACUUUAAAGUUUGGCUUAUCAAGCUGUAUCCACAAAAGUAAUGAUGAGAAAUAAUGAAAUGAUGAGAAAUACAAUGAAGAUCAAAUGUCCAUCUCAAUACUGCUUUUACAAAAGCAGAAUAAAAAAGCGAAAUGAAAUGAAAAUGCUACACAUUAAUCCUGGAAUAAAAGAAGCUGAAAUCAUUGAAAUGAGUGGGAUCAAGUGGAUUGAGGAGGAGGCUGUGCUGUUUGCCAAUCUUUCGUUUGCCUCAGACAGGUUUCUCAUUAUCAGAAGAGUUGCUUCAUUUCAUCUGGGAGCAGAAAACAGCAGGCAGCUGUUAACAGAUAAGUUUAACUUGUACCUCUGCAGUAUUGCAUGAUAGGGAUAAGUGCUUACCUUUGCUAAGAGCUGUGGAGGUCUUAGGUCCCUUACCUGAGGGAUUUUCCUAUCCAGCCUUUUAAAAUGAGACAGGACUUGGUGUGCCUGUGGGCUUCCAUGAUGGGUUAGCACACUUCACUCAGAGGCUAGUAAUGCCUUAAAGCCUCUUGAGAUUAAUAAAGGUAAUGUGUAUAAUACUAAGAACAUUUGUUUAGCACUGAGUCUCUGAAAAGCCUAUUAAAGGGUAGCAUAACGUGCUGUUAACCAGAAUUCAGAUUGUUAAUCUUGCUAAAAUUUAAAUGUUAUGAUGUGUAUUGUGCAGAAAACCGUUAAAUUAUUCAAAAUAAAAUACUUUAUAGAGAAUGUAUGCUUUUAGAAAGCUGUCUCCUUAUUUAAAUAAAAUUGUUUGUCUAGUUAGUGUUGGGCAAUCUUGGGGGGAUUCUUCUCAUCUUUCAGAAACUUUGAACACUCUUUAACGGACAAGAUCAGGAGUUGAGCGGAAGAACGAAUUUAACUUAAGGCAGGAAAAACAAAUUUUAUCCUUCGUAAAAGUGAUGAGCAUUUAAUAAUUCCAGGCACAUGGCAAUAGAGGCCCUCUAAAUAAGGAAUAAAUACCUCUUAGACAGGUGGGAGAUUAUGAUCAGGAAAACAGGUAACACCUAUGCUGUUUUCAGAAAGGAGUCCAGUGGUUAAACUAGAGUAAUGAGAGAUCUUACUGUCCACAUUUCCAGUUUGCAUGUUAACCUUAAAUGCUUACAGUCGCGUUAUCUAGUGGUAGCUGGUGUUUACACUGUUGGCCUUUUAUAUAGGCACUUGGUGUGGGGGAGGGCAUGUGGGUUUUUUAAAGAAUUUUCCUUUGCAGAGGCUUCAUUUCAUCCUUCAUGAAGCUGUUCAGGAUUUUGACUUGCAUAUAAGCACUUGGCUCUGCCUUCUGCUCUACUAGUGAGUGAGACCUUGCAGUGAGUUUAUCAGCAUACUCAAUAAAUGUUUCCCCCCUGAUUUUGGAGGGAAGGGAGGAGAGGGUGGGGCUUACUUGUUUUAGUUUUUUUUUUGCAGACUACACAGAAUGCAGUUGUCUUGAUCUCAGGUCUGUCUGUUCUGUUGGCAAGUAAUGCAGUACUGUUCUGAUCCGCUGCUAUUAGAAUGCAUUGUGAAACAACUGGAGUAUGAUUAAAAGUUGUGUUUUCCCCAGUGCUUGGAAUAGUGAUUGUUGAAGGAAAAUCCAGCUGAGUAAUAAAAGGCUGAGUGUUGAGGAAAUUUCUGCAGCUUUAAGCAUUCGUGUUUGUGAUUGAAGCAAAGUCCCUUUUGCUGUGCUUUUAGGUAAAAUGCUUUUUUGUUCACUUCUGGUAAGGGGGU